UUCAGUUUAAAAUAAUUCAGAUUCAAGUUUUCAAGAUGAAGAAAUGCGGAACUUCGAAUUCAGUUUUCUAAAAUUCAAUGUCAAAAAUUCAAACUCAAAAAUUCAGAUCUUACAGAAAGUAGGUCACAGGUCAUCCACAGGGAAGAGUAGAUGAUCUCAGAAAAGUCGAACAGAGCAUUUUGGCCAAUUGGGGACUGCGGAAGUUUUCCAGCGCGAACGUGGUGGUGGUUCAAGAGGUUGCCACUCUCUGACUCUGAUCAUGAAUCGCCCGGAGACUGGAUGAGAGAGCUGAAGCCACUGGUACAGUAGCUGAUCAUUGUAUGAACUGGACAUACAUGGAGGCUGUUCUCAUCGAGAGACAAUACAUAUCUCAGACACUCACCUAAUUUUGCAUUGCUUCAUUCCAUGCUUUCACACAACUUUCCUUGUCUUUUCAAUUUGAGUUAUAUUCAUAAAGCAAUUACUUCUGUACUUGUCAUAGUAACAUUUAAUGAAUGUAAUAUUUAUGUGAUCUACAGUAUCAUUUUUUGAGUAUAAUUUUAAACAGUAAACAUACUUAAAGAUAACAUGUUAUUUGUUAACCUGCAUGCCAUGUUACUAUUAAUACACAUCAGAGAACUGUCAUCAUUAAAAUGUUCAAAUGUUAAACAUUGUUUACACAAUGGAUCACUAUUCACUAUUCUUAAACAUGACAUGAUGAGGUUGUUUUUCAGUGCCUAUGGUCAAAGAACAGAUACAAUGUAUGCAAUGUAUGAUUAUGAUAUUCAUUAUUAUUAUAUUUAUUAUUAGUAGUUCUUUCUCAGAUUGUCUAAACCGUUAAGCUCCGUAUUUGACUGUUAACUCAAUGCAAUAAAGAAAAAUGUGUCCAUU